GAGCAACCGCAGCAGCUUAUCAUCUACUGCCUCUUUGAUUGAAAGGAGAAGGGAACCAAUUCAAUCUCUGACCGAAAGAGACUGCAAAGUGUCUCCUACCCCAGAUUUAGCUUGAAUUGGAAAGUCUAAUUUAGUCCAAUCCAAAUCGAAGUUACCAAUUUUUUAUGUCUCAACAAUGGUAGCAAUCCACUCUACCAUCAUCUUUUUCCCCAUCCUCCUUAUCUUCGUUGCAACUCUAUUGCAAUCAUCGUGUUCUUACGUCACAACUAGCAAAUACCCAUUACCGAUUCCUUCGCAUCGCGCCCUGUUUGCUGCACGUAGAGACCCCCGACAGCAGAUCCCUAAUUGCAGUGAGAUGGUGUCGGGACCUCUCUGUUCUCAAAACCCCAAUUGCCGGUGGUGUAAGAGUGACGCUCUUGAUGACAUGUGCUUUAGCAAGGCUGAGGCUUGGAGGCUGCCUCAACGGGUCUUCGUUUGUGAUUGAUUUCC
rnacentral:misc_RNA from 1 species